CAGGUCACUCCUACGGGAGGCAGCAGUGGGGAAUUUUGGACAAUGGGGGCAACCCUGAUCCAGCAAUGCCGCGUGUGUGAAGAAGGCCUUCGGGUUGUAAAGCACUUUUGUCCGGAAAGAAAACUUCGGGGCUAAUACCUCUGGAGGAUGACGGUACCGGAAGAAUAAGCACCGGCUAACUACGUGCCAGCAGCCGCGGUAAUACGUAGGGUGCGAGCGUUAAUCGGAAUUACUGGGCGUAAAGCGUGCGCAGGCGGUUCGCUAAGACCGAUGUGAAAUCCCCGGGCUUAACCUGGGAACUGCAUUGGUGACUGGCGGGCUAGAGUAUGGCAGAGGGGGGUAGAAUUCCACGUGUAGCAGUGAAAUGCGUAGAGAUGUGGAGGAAUACCGAUGGCGAAGGCAGCCCCCUGGGCCAAUACUGACGCUCAUGCACGAAAGCGUGGGGAGCAAACAGGAUUAGAUACCCUGGUAGUCCACGCCCUAAACGAUGUCAACUAGUUGUCGGGUCUUCAUUGACUUGGUAACGUAGCUAACGCGUGAAGUUGACCGCCUGGGGAGUACGGUCGCAAGAUUAAAACUCAAAGGAAUUGAC
rnacentral:rRNA from 1 species